UAUCCGUAGGUGAACCUGCGGAAGGAUCAUUACCGAGUGCGGGUUCCAACGAGCCCAACCUCCCACCCGUGUUUACCAUGACCGCGUUGCCUCGGCGGGCCCACUGGGGCCUGGCCCCGGUCGCCGGGGGGCUCCUGCCCCCGGGUCCGCGCCCGCCGAAGCGCCCUGGAACCCUGCCUGAAUAGUGAGUCUGAGUGAAUGAUUAAAUCAUUAAAACUUUCAACAACGGAUCUCUUGGUUCCG
rnacentral:misc_RNA from 1 species